GCAGAGCACUCCUACGGGAGGCAGCAGUGGGGAAUAUUGCACAAUGGGGGCAAGCCUGAUGGAGCAACACCGCGUGAGUGAAGAAGGUUUCGGCUCGUAAAGCUCUGUUGUUAAAGAAGAACACGUAUGAGAGUAACUGUUCAUACGUUGACGGUAUUUAACCAGAAAGUCACGGCUAACUACGUGCCAGCAGCCGCGGUAAUACGUAGGUGGCAAGCGUUAUCCGGAUUUAUUGGGCGUAAAGAGAGUGCAGGCGGUUUUCUAAGUCUGAUGUGAAAGCCUUCGGCUUAACCGGAGAAGUGCAUCGGAAACUGGAUAACUUGAGUGCAGAAGAGGGUAGUGGAACUCCAUGUGUAGCGGUGGAAUGCGUAGAUAUAUGGAAGAACACCAGUGGCGAAGGCGGCUACCUGGUCUGCAACUGACGCUGAGACUCGAAAGCAUGGGUAGCGAACAGGAUUAGAUACCCUGGUAG
rnacentral:rRNA from 1 species